rnacentral:rRNA from 1 species
CGUCUGAUUAGCUAGUUGGUGGGGUAAUGGCCUACCAGGGCGACGAUCAGUAGCUGGUCUGAGAGGAUGAUCAGCCACACUGGGACUGAGACACGGCCCAGACUCCUACGGGAGGCAGCAGUGGGGAAUAUUGGACAAUGGGCGGAAGCCUGAUCCAGCAACGCCGCGUGAGGGAUGACGGCCUUCGGGUUGUAAACCUCUUUCACCAUUGACGAAGCUGCAUCUUUUGGUGUGGUGACGGUAGGUGGGGAAGAAGCACCGGCCAACUACGUGCCAGCAGCCGCGGUAAUACGUAGGGUGCGAGCGUUGUCCGGAAUUAUUGGGCGUAAAGGGCUCGUAGGCGGUUUGUCGCGUCGGGAGUGAAAACCUUGGGCUUAACUCAGGGCUUGCUUUCGAUACGGGCAGACUAGAGGUAUGCAGGGGAGAACGGAAUUCCUGGUGUAGCGGUGAAAUGCGCAGAUAUCAGGAGGAACACCGGUGGCGAAGGCGGUCUCUGGGCAUGAUCUGACGCUGAGGAGCGAAAGUGUGGGGAGCGAACAGGAUUAGAUACCCUGGUAGUCCACACCGUAACGUUGGGCGCUAGGUGUGGGAUCCAUUCCACGGGUUCCGUGCCGCAGCUAACGCAUUAAGCGCCCCGCCUGGGGAGUACGGCGCAAGGCUAAACUCAA